GAGGGUAUAUCUCAAGGGGUAGUGAGCAUGCUUAGCAUGCACGAGGUCCUGGGUUCAAUCCCCAGUACCUCA
rnacentral:tRNA from 1 species